rnacentral:rRNA from 1 species
GAUGAACGCUGGCGGCGUGCUUAACACAUGCAAGUCGAACGGAAAGGCCCUGCUUGCAGGGUACUCGAGUGGCGAACGGGUGAGUAACACGUGGGUGAUCUGCCCUUUACUUUGGGAUAAGCCUGGGAAACUGGGGCUAAUACCGAAAAUGACAAUUGUUUUGAUGCGAUUGUGGAAAGCUUUUGCGGUAUGGGAUGAGCUCGCGGCCUAUAAGCUUGUUGGUGGGGAAAUGGCCUACCAAGGCGCCGACGGGUAGCCGGCCUGAGAGGGUGUAGCGCCACAUUGGGACUGAGAUACGGCCCAGACUCGUAAGGGAGGGAGCAGUGGGGAAUAUUGCACACUGGGCGGAAGCGUGAUGCAGCGAGGCCGCGUGGGUGAUGACGGCCUUCGGGUUGUAAAAUCCUUUCGCAACCGACGAGGCCUUUUGGUGACGGUAGGUUGAGAAGAAGCACCGGCUAACUACGUG